AAACUAAUUUAGUUUGGCGGCAUUUCAUUUAAUUAGAGGAAUUUGUCCUUUAAUCGAUAAACCACGUUAAAUUUAACUUAAAUCCAAAAUUUAUAUACCGCCAUCUUAAGAAUUAAUUUAAAUAUAUUUCUCUAAAAAAUAAAUAAAAAGUUAGGUCAAGGUAUAAUUUAUAUUAAAGAAUGAGAUGAAUUACAUUAAAAACAAUACAAGAAUUAAUAAUUUUUACAUUUACAUAAAUUAGAAUUUAAAAGUAAUAUUAAAAUAAUAUUUAAAUAUGAUAUAAAUAAUAAAUGUGCACACAUCGCCC
rnacentral:rRNA from 1 species